GCCUCCGUGGCUCAGUUCGGUAGAGCAGCGCACUUGUAAUGCGCAGGCCGUGGGUUCAAAUCCCUCCGGAGGCUCCA
rnacentral:tRNA from 1 species